rnacentral:rRNA from 1 species
AUUGAACGCUGGCGGCAUGCCUUACACAUGCAAGUCGAACGGCAGCACGGGAGCAAUCCUGGUGGCGAGUGGCGAACGGGUGAGUAAUAUAUCGGAACGUGCCCAGUCGUGGGGAUAACGUAGCGAAAGCUACGCUAAUACCGCAUACGAUCUACGGAUGAAAGCGGGGGAUCGCAAGACCUCGCGCGAUUGGAGCGGCCGAUAUCAGAUUAGGUAGUUGGUGAGGUAAAGGCUCACCAAGCCGACGAUCUGUAGCUGGUCUGAGAGGACGACCAGCCACACUGGGACUGAGACACGGUCCAGACUCCUACGGGAGGCAGCAGUGGGGAAUAUUGGACAAUGGGCGAAAGCCUGAUCCAGCAAUGCCGCGUGAGUGAUGAAGGCCUUAGGGUUGUAAAGCUCUUUUACCCGGGAUGAUAAUGACAGUACCGGGAGAAUAAGCUCCGGCUAACUCCGUGCCAGCAGCCGCGGU